rnacentral:rRNA from 1 species
UACGUAGGGGGCAAGCGUUAUCCGGAAUCACUGGGUGUAAAGGGAGCGUAGACGGCUGUGCAAGCCUGAAGUGAAAGGCGGGGGCCCAACCCCCGGACUGCUUUGGGAACUGUACGGCUGGAGUGCAGGAGAGGUAAGUGGAAUUCCUAGUGAAGCGGUGAAAUGCGUAGAUAUUAGGAGGAACACCAGUGGCGAAGGCGGCUUACUGGACUGUAACUGACGUUGAGGCUCGAAAGCGUGGGGAGCAAACAGG